rnacentral:rRNA from 1 species
GUGGGGAAUCUUCCGCAAUGGACGAAAGUCUGACGGAGCAACGCCGCGUGAGUGAAGAAGGUUUUCGGAUCGUAAAGCUCUGUUGUUUGAGACGAAUGUGCAGACUUUGAACAAGGGUUUGUAAUGACGGUAUUAAACGAGAAAGCCACGGCUAACUACGUGCCAGCAGCCGCGGUAAUACGUAGGUGGCAAGCGUUGUCCGGAAUUAUUGGGCGUAAAGGGAGCGCAGGUGGGAAUGUAAGUCAGUCUUAAAAGUGCGGGGCUCAACCCCGUGAGGGGAUUGAAACUACAUUUCUUGAGUGCAGGAGAGGAAAGUGGAAUUCCUAGUGUAGCGGUGAAAUGCGUAGAGAUUAGGAGGAACACCAGUGGCGAAGGCGACUUUCUGGACUGUAACUGACACUGAGGCUCGAAAGCCAGGGGAGCGAACGGGAUUAGAAACCCGGGUAGUCC